rnacentral:lncRNA from 1 species
CUGCCAAGCUGUCUCUUGUGGGGGACAUUUACAUUCUGUAGAGAAUCCCUUCCCUUUCCAGGUCUUUCUCUGAUCCUGAAGACAUUGGCUGAGAGUCUAGCACCUUCUAUGGGUCUGAACAGGAAACAUUUGCCAUCUAUUUUCUCUAAGGGUGGCCACCUAUGAAACUUCAUCUACAUAAUAAGAACCUUGGUCUCCACAGUCUCUUAUCUUAACUCAGACUCUCCUUUCUAUUGAUAGCAGACCAAACCAAUGCACAACUCCUACGUACUGAUGGUGGUCUUACGUUUCCCUAAGUUUCUGCCGACUAAACUGUGCACACGUUCUCAGGACCUCCUGAAGCUGCGUCACAGGCGCUGAUCAAAGAACACAACCAAGGUGAGUGUCAAUCAUUUCAAGAAAUCUAUUUGCAAGGUUAAGGACACACCUGAGAAAAGAACAGAGAACCACAGGAAAAACUGUGGUCCGUGCUUUUCCCAAAGAUUGUCUGGGGGCCUCAGUAAGUAAAGGGGAAAAGUGCGGGUAUUGGGGAAAGGGGAAGAAGUGGAAAAAAUGGGUGUGGGUAAAUCAGAGGCAAAUGGUUGCAUUCUUCUGUCUUUGGUCAGUGUUCACUGAAUACACAUUUUACAUGCGAGGGAGGUAGAGGCAGGGAUGUAGCUUUUUUAUCUUUGUGUAAUAGCUAUCUUAUUUAGGAACCAGAUGGGAAGCAGGUUUGCAUAAGCCAGUUCCCAGCUUGGCUUUUCCCUUUGGCUUAGUGAGUCUGGGGUCCCAGGAUUUAUUUUCCGUUCUCACAGGUUGUGGUCCUCACAUUUGGCUCAAAAUAUUCAAAAUUUUUUCCAGAGUUUGGCCUUUUCUUCAGCACUGGGAAUUGUGAUCCAAAGCUUUUCCUGAUGAGGCACAAAGUUGGAGAAACAAAACGCAAACUAAGCAACAAUGAAACAGAACAGAGUGAAUCUGCUGUAGCUCAAGAGAGGACGUAGCUGCCCCCACCCCGCAUCCCCGGGCUCGGGUUUGCCUUGCUGACCUCUGCUGCCACCUGGUGCCGCACAGAGAAACUGAGGAGAAACCACAUCAGUCUCCUUCAGCCUCAGCUUCACAUCUGUGGGUCAAGCAACCCUUUCAGAAGCUGAAUAAUGUGGGAAAGCUUUCCUCUCAGGAAAAUGCACACAUCCAACUUUGAGA